rnacentral:rRNA from 1 species
GACAGAGGGUGCAAACGUUGCUCGGAAUCACUGGGCGUAAAGGGCGUGUAGGCGGGCAGGUAAGUCGGGCGUGAAAUCCCUGAGCUCAACUCAGGAACUGCACUCGAAACUACUUGUCUUGAGUACCGGAGAGGAAAGCGGAAUACCUGGUGUAGAGGUGAAAUUCGUAGAUAUCAGGUGGAACACCAGUGGCGAAGGCGGCUUUCUGGACGGUAACUGACGCUGAGACGCGAAAGCGUGGGGAGCAAGCAGG